rnacentral:sRNA from 1 species
UGAUUUAACAGAGAUUGUCGCUCCGUU